rnacentral:rRNA from 1 species
UAAUAGCCCAGUAUUAUUCAUAUAGGAUUUGUAAUUUAUAAAUUUCCCAGGUACCGGUGUUAUAAUUUUUUAUGCAAUCUCAAAUGUAAAAUAUAGUAACACAAUUCUUCUCUUAAUAUUUACCCACUUGAAUGAUAAAGUGUAGGUCAAACUUUUUAUAAAUAGAAGUAUAAGUUUAUCCUUAUCUUUAAUUUACACUUUGACGAAAGAAAAUUGGUUCAAAAUUUCCUUUUAGGUUUAUUAGAAGUUACUCCAAGGUUCUAGAAUUAUUAAGACUUAUAAAGAGUUUAGAGUUUUAUAAAUUUUCUCAACAACCCUUAAAAGGAUCCAUUUUUUUCUUAUUAUUAGAAUUUAUCUGCUAUAAACAUUUUGAAAUCAAAUAUCAUAUUAUUUUUCCUAAGCUACAUACUGAUAAAAUUAUCAAGGCUCGCAUUUAUAAAUUUAAUCCCCUUAGGCUGUAGUUACAAAAAUCAAACUAUGUGUUAAGUCACGACAAACAAAAAAAAAGGUCCUUUGGACUAAUCUCGAACAAAUUAUGCAAAUUGCAUGCAUGUUACCAACUAUCAUAAUUGUUUUGUUCUUUAUUUUAUAAUUGCAAGCUCUUAGAUGAAAAUGUUGAUUGCUAGAACGGACAAAUAGGUUCCCAGGAUUGGUGUUUGUAUGUAGAAUUCACAUAGAUGUUAAGUUAAUGGGAAAAUAGAAUAAGUAUUUUGAUUGACAUUUGAUGAGGUGGAUGGCAAUCAGCCCAUGAUUUUGUAAAUGGAGAAAUUGUGGAUUGACAGAGAUUCGGACCCUAAGUUGUGGCAUUUUGUGAUCUCGAGGUUACAGUCAGUUCCUCGUGGACCCAGUGGUACAGUCAGUCCCUGGGAAAUUCAUCCUUGUGAGGCGUUUGAUGAAUUUCGACUAAGUAGAUAACUUAGACUUUUCAUCUGGGCUUCUAGUCAAGGCAAGCAAGGAGGAGUUGAAUCAUGAAAUGGCCAUAGACUUGGUGGAUUAUUUGGGAGGUUGUUCUCUAGGUUGAGAACUUAGAAGAAAACAUAAGUUAAAGGCUAGUUAAUGAAAUCAUUUGUUUGUUAUUUAAUUUCGUACUUUCUUUCGAAUAUGCAUGAAUUGUGGUUAAUUAUAAUGUAAGGGUUGGUGGGUAGGAGUUAUCUAUUGGGUGAUUUAUCACUCAUGGUGUUGUCAUGGCCUUGACAUUUUACGCUAGGUUUUGAAGGAGAAGGAGGAGUGUACUAUCAGACGGAGGAAUUCCCUACUGAGUAGGUAAUAGUAGAAGAGUGGGAUCUAAACCUAAACCUCUAGAGAUCCAGCACCUCUUUUAUUUUGUGGGAUAAAUGUAAUUUAACUUUCCGAAGAAAAGUACUAUGUUUAUUUGUACUCAAACUAAGACAAUUAUGUUAUUUUCGCUGCUUAAUUAAUGAGAUCCUUUUUAUUUAUAUUAAUCAUUUAUUAAAUGAUUUAAAUUAAUACUUCUGAAAAUUGGGGCGUUACAAACCUGAAGAGGGAUAGGGUGAAAAUGCUAAGAUCAGGGUUUCAUAAAUGCAAGGUUGAAAUUCAUUGUAGUUCAACUUAUCACAUGAUUUUACUCUAUAACAACUCGCAAUUGUUAUUUUUUUAUUCGACAUUGUUGCAUUCUUGUAGUCUUGUUUUUUUGGAAGUGAUCUAUGUCAUACAAAUUUGUAUGAUUUUACCGAUUUGUAUGAUUUUACUGGGUUUCAAAUAUACCAAAUAUGUAAAGUUUGUAAAUGCUAAAAAUAUCAACUGUCUUAAAUCAUUCUUUGUAUUUCUAAUUAGUCUUUGCAUUUUGUUUUGAUUGUUACAUGCCUAAUUUUAAUAUUGUGUUUUUUGUGAUUUUUGUAGGUUGGAUUCAAGCAAGUCCUGCAUUUUAACUUGCGUACUUUUUGUUUGAAGGUAAUACCCAUGUUCAUUUGCCCUAUUAAUGUGACAUGGUAGGAAUGCAUGUAACGUUUUCACACCGAAUUAAAUGGCACGAAAUUUUGUAAUUGACACUUAUUUUGGAAUGGAGUUUUUAGCUUUGAACCAAUUUGGAAAACUGUGCAUGUCUAUUAGUUUGCAAACUGGUCAUUUCUAUUAGUCUGGUGAUUCAGUAACAAUGAAACUUGUUGGAAGAAUGUUUGUUGUCUACCCUUGUAUCUUUUCUACUUUUAUCGGCAGUUGUUGUAAAUUUAAUUGUUGGAUAAUGAUUGAUGGAGCAUGUAUGCUCCAUAGCCUGUGACCCAUUGUCUCUAUAUCUAACACUCUGAUAUGGCUACCUCUUGAAAUGUCGGUACUUAGCUUCAUAGGCUGCUUGUGUGGUAUUCUAAACAAAUUUAAUUUUGCAAAGAAGUUACUAUUUGAUACAUAUAAAGAGGAUAUAGCAAUUUGCAAACCGACCUUGUCUUACGCUAUUUGGAGACGAAAGUCAGCCACAGUGAUCCGGGAGUCCUGUGUGGAAGGGCUCUCGCUCAACGUAUCAAAGGUACGCUAGGGAUAAUAGGUUGAUGACUCCCAAGAGCUCUUAUCGAUAGAGUCGUUUGGCACCUUGAUGUUUACUAAUCACAUAUUGGGGUUGAAGAAGGUCCCAAGGGUUUGGUUAUUCGCCGAUUCAAGUGGUACGUAAGUUGGGUUUAGAAAGUCAUGAGACAAUUCAGUUCCUAUCGACCAUUGGUGUUAAAGGGAGAACUGCGAGGAGCCAACCCUAGUACAAGAGGAUUGGGUUGGGCCAACCUACGGUGUACCAAUUGUUAUGCCAAAAGCAGCGUCAAGCAGCUAAGUUGGUAUGGAAGAACUGCUGCGCCAUGGGAAAUCCUUCUCUAUACAAGUUCUCAAACGAGGUUUUUAAAUAGAACUUCGCUAGUCGAGAGGUGUAAGCACCGCGAGGUGUGAAGCGAUCUCGUACUAAACAAAAUGACUUUCACUU